UACGUAGGGGGCAAGCGUUGUCCGGAAUCAUUGGGCGUAAAGAGCGUGUAGGCGGCCCGAUAAGUCCGCCGUGAAAGUCCAGGGCUCAACCCUGGGAUGCCGGUGGAAACUGUCGGGCUAGAGUCCGGAAGAGGCGAGUGGAAUUCCUGGUGUAGCGGUGAAAUGCGCAGAUAUCAGGAGGAACACCAAUGGCGAAGGCAGCUCGCUGGGACGGUACUGACGCUGAGGAGCGAAAGCGUGGGGAGCGAACAGG
rnacentral:rRNA from 1 species